rnacentral:rRNA from 1 species
CCUACGGGUGGCAGCAGUGGGGAAUAUUGCACAAUGGGGGAAACCCUGAUGCAGCGACGCCGCGUGAGUGAAGAAGUAUUUAGGUGUGUAAAGCUCUAUCAGCAGGGAAGAAAAUGAAGAUACGUGACUAAGAAGCCCAGGCUAACUACGUGCCAGAAGCCGCGGUAAUACGUAGGCAGCAAGCGUUAUCCGGAGUUACUGGGUGUAAAGGGAGCGUAGACGGUGGAACAAGUCAGAAGUGAAAACCCGGGGCUCAACUUCGGGAGUGCGUUUGAAACUGUUUGGCUGGAGUGUAGGAGCGGUAAGCGGAAUGCAUAGUGUAGCGGUGAAAUGCGUAGAUAUUAGGCAGAACACCAGUGGCGAAGGCGGCUUACUGGACUGUAUCUGACGUUGAGGCUCGAAAGCGUGGGGAGCAAACAGGAUUAGAUACCCGUGUAGUC